AGUGAACGCUGGCGGUAGGCCUAACACAUGCAAGUCGAACGGCAGCACAGUAAGAGCUUGCUCUUACGGGUGGCGAGUGGCGGACGGGUGAGGAAUACAUCGGAAUCUACUUUUUCGUGGGGGAUAACGUAGGGAAACUUACGCUAAUACCGCAUACGACCUACGGUUGAAAGCAGGGGAUCUUCGGACCUUGCGCGAUUGAAUGAGCCGAUGUCGGAUUAGCUAGUUGGCGGGGUAAAGGCCCACCAAGGCGACGAUCCGUAGCUGGUCUGAGAGGAUGAUCAGCCACACUGGAACUGAGACACGGUCCAGACUCCUAAGGGAGGCAGCAGUGGGGAAUAUUGGACAAUGGGCGCAAGCCUGAUCCAGCCAUACCGCGUGGGUGAAGAAGGCCUUCGGGUUGUAAAGCCCUUUUGUUGGGAAAGAAAAGCAGCAGGUUAAUACCACGCUGUUCUGACGGUACCCAAAGAAUAAGCACCGGCUAACUUCGUG
rnacentral:rRNA from 1 species